UCUACACAUGAUUAUUCAUUUGUAAAGGCUGGAGGCUGAUUUCCAUUUAUUCCUGACUCUCAUGAGCUUAUUUUUUCCUUGUAAAUAAAAGAAAGAUGAUCAUUUCCAAAGUUCCUCAUUUUUUUUCUUUUUCUUUGUCUUUUUUUUUUCUUUUCUCUUUUUUUUUUUUUUCUUGUUUGUUUGCUAACGUUCCUUUGUCCUAGAAUUUGUUAGCAAAAUUGUCAUAGUUGACAAGUAUCUCCAUAAAUCUAUGUAGUUACAGAGCAGGGUAACAGAAUAUCAGAUUGGGUGUGGAUAACAAAGGGUUCCCUUCAAUUAAACAAGCACUUUGUAAUUGCUCUGGUGAUCAUGACUAAGCUGAUUUCAGACCAACUGCCCUCUGUGCUACCAGAGGAGGAAGGGGAAUUUUUUCAAGGAUCUUUUGGAGAAGCAAUAAAAUCAACACCAGAGGGACAGAUAAAAACUACGCUUCUACUUCUGUCAGUUCCUCCUGCUGUGGUGCUGUGGAUUGUGGUGACCAUGGAGAGAAGUCCUGGCAAAUGUGCUCAGCACUUUGUCUUCAGCCCUUGAAGCAAAGCAUGCACCACCUGCUCUGGGAUUUUGUAAUCACCCAGAAAGGGCUCAAGUGUGUCUCUGGUAAUUACUGGAUCUGCUGGUGGGUGAAGAAGGUCCAGAUAAAAGCCUAGAUGCACAAAAAGGCAAGGCUUUUUGGUGAUAAUCUGCAAGUAGUUCCUGAUAACAUAGUACAUCUUAAGAAAAAGAAAGCUGUACAGCCUCCUAUAAAGGACUAACUUUUACAGAUUAAUAUGCAAAAUGGAGGGAAAAGUCUGCCUGUGUUCCUCCCACAUCACACAGUGACUAUUCAAGGGAGCCUGGAGUUUUGCAAGGAAUCUGAUCUCCCUGCACAGAAAUGUCUGAUGACUGAUCCUGUAUUGGGACACUUAAAUAGUUAUGGAGAUAUGAGGCUUGACAGAAAGAGGCUCUGGAGCAGUGUUGAUGCCAGCGGCUUGGUGGAGGGAGGACUGAGGAGAAGGUGGGUUGCUGAGCCAGAGGGCAGGAAGAGAGAGAAACGGGUUGGAGGCACAGACCGAUCCAGGAAAACGUGGGGACUUUCCACCAGAAAACUGGCAUCUCACCAGGUGAUCCUCAGGUCUGCUGGGAGAGGAUAUUGCUGUUUCCAUCCUUGCUGCAGGGAGCUUUGGCUCCCAGGUAUAGCUAGAUCGCUUCCAGAGUUGUUAUUGCAAAGUAGUGUUCAUACGAACUGGUCUGGGAGGCAAAAAAAUAAAACCCCUUCAGCUGGGUAUGUGACCUGUGGUGAAGUUUAAUCAGCUUUGCGAGGUAUAUUUUGUAUCCUACUGUUUCAAAUAAAUAAAUAAAGCUUCAUGUAAAAAUUAGGCA
rnacentral:lncRNA from 1 species